AUCAACGCUGGCGGCGUGCCUAAUGCAUGCAAGUCGGACGGGACGGCCCUUGGGUCGCGACCGUGGCGGACGGGUGAGGAACGCGUGGGCAUCCUGCCCUGGAGCGGGGGGUAGCCGUCGGAAACGGCGGGUAAUUCCGCGUACGCUGGUUCAUCGGUGGGAUGGAUCAGGAAAGGUCCGCAAGGAUCACUCCGGGAGGGGCCCGCGACGGAUUAGCUGGUUGGUGGGGUAACGGCCUACCAAGGCGAUGAUCCGUAGCUGGUCUGAGAGGACGGCCAGCCACAGGGGAACUGAGACACGGUCCCCACUCCUACGGGAGGCAGCAGCAAGGAAUUUUCCGCAAUGGGCGCAAGCCUGACGGAGCAACGCCGCGUGGGGGAGGACGCCUUUCGGGGUGUAAACCCCUUUUCCGGGGGACGAAGCACUGACGGUACCCUGGGAAGAAGGCCCGGCUAACUACGU
rnacentral:rRNA from 1 species